GGAGGAAGAGGAAUUUGAUUGGGUGAUGAUGUAUAGAAAGAUUAAGAAUUCUGGUGGUGUUAAAGGGAUAGAUGGUUUGUUGAAUGAAGUCUCACUUCAUGAUGUGAGAUUAGAACCAAAUUCAAUGCAUGGAAUAGCUCAACAGACUAAUUUGGAGUACUUGUUGAUGUUGGAUGUUGAUAGUUUGGUAUGGAGUUUUAGGAAAACUGCUGGUUUGGAGACUCCUGGUAAUCCAUAUGGAGGCUGGGAGGCUCCGGGUGUUGAGCUUCGCG
rnacentral:misc_RNA from 1 species